rnacentral:rRNA from 1 species
AAGGAUCAUUAUCGAGUAUUGGGGUUCCUUUCGGGCCCCUACUCCCACACCAUGUUAACCAACCUCUCGUUGCUUCGGCGGGCCGCGCCUCUUCUGGCGCGCCGGCUCCCCAGCGGGGCCGGACAGCGCUCGCCGAAGGACCAACGCAAAACUCUCUGAAUCGUGACGAGUCUGAGAAAUUUUUAAAUGAAUCAAAACUUUCAACAACGGAUCUCUUGGUUCUGGCAUCGAUGAAGAACGCAGCGAAAUGCGAUAAGUAAUGUGAAUUGCAGAAUUCAGUGAAUCAUCGAAUCUUUGAACGCACAUUGCGCCCCUUGGUAUUCCGAGGGGCAUGCCUGUUCGAGCGUCAUUUCAACCCUCAAGCUUCUGCUUGGUAUUGAGCGUCUUUCGCCCUCUUGUCAAAGGGGGCGCGCUCGAAACCCGUGGGCGGUGGCACCCAGCGUCGAAGCGUAGUCAUUCAUUCCGCUUUCCGACAACCUGGGCGCUCACCCGCCGGGCAACAAUCAAUUUUUUUUAUCAGGUUUGACCUCGGAUCAGGUAGGGAUACCCGCUGAACUUAA